rnacentral:rRNA from 1 species
GACGAACGCUGGCGGCGUGCUUAACACAUGCAAGUCGAGCGGUAAGGCCCUUUCGGGGGUACACGAGCGGCGAACGGGUGAGUAACACGUGGGUGACCUGCCCUCAGCUCUGGGAUAAGCCUGGGAAACCGGGUCUAAUACCGGAUAUGACUCCAUGACGCAUGUUGUGGGGUGGAAAGCCUUGUGCGGCUGAGGAUGGGCCCGCGGCCUAUCAGCUUGUUGGUGGGGUGAUGGCCUACCAAGGCGACGACGGGUAGCCGGCCUGAGAGGGCGACCGGCCACACUGGGACUGAGACACGGCCCAGACUCCGUACGGGAGGCAGCAGUGGGGAAUCUUGCGCAAUGGGCGAAAGCCUGACGCAGCGACGCCGCGUGAGGGAUGACGGCC